UACGUAGGGCGCGAGCGUUGUCCGGAAUCAUUGGGCGUAAAGAGCUCGUAGGCGGCCUGUCGCGUCUGCUGUGAAAUCCCGGGGCUUAACCCCGGGCGUGCAGUGGAUACGGGCUGGCUGGAGGCAGGCAGGGGAGAACGGAAUUCCCGGUGUAGCGGUGAAAUGCGCAGAUAUCGGGAGGAACACCGGUGGCGAAGGCGGUUCUCUGGGCAUGUCCUGACGCUGAGGAGCGAAAGUGUGGGGAGCGAACAGG
rnacentral:rRNA from 1 species